rnacentral:lncRNA from 1 species
UUCAUCAUAAUUGGAGAGAAACUCAGUGUACUAGCAUUCUUGUUAAUGUUGUAUCCUUUAUUAUAUGAAUGUGCAUUUCUAAACCCUUCAUUUUUUUAAUUUUUUUGGUCGAUCAGCAUUCAAUACAUCUUGUCCCAAAUUGACAACUGCAUUCAGUACGGAGAAGAUGCAGACGUUAAGAUUAAGGAUUUCGACCCAGACGAUGAUUGAAGCUCAGAAGAACCUUUAGGCUUAAUCCCAUAAACCAAAAGGAAGUUUAUGAUAAUUGUUGUAUAAGUAACUCUGAUUGACAGUUUGCUUCUACUCUCUGGACUAUAUGUGUGACGGUCUAUGUAAGUUGAAGUUUGGUUCGUUUUCUAGUUGAGUUUAAGACUUUUAAGGUUAAGAACGACAUAUAUCUCACUUUCAGCAGUUGAAUCUUGAUUCGGCUUACAAAUUAUCUUUUCUAAUCACUUAAUUAAAGCAAUUAUUAUAUUAAUUUCUGUGAA